UACAGAGGAGCCAAGCGUUGUCCGGAUUGACUGGGCGUAAAGCGCACGCAGGUGGUCGUGCAAGUGUCGUGUGAAAGCAGCUCGCUUAACGAGCUGAGGCCAUGGCAGACUGGACGACUCGAGCCCGUGAGAGGUCGGUGGAAUUGCCGGUGUAGUGGUGAAAUGCGUAGAGAUCGGCAGGAACACCCAAGGGGAAACCAGCCGACUGGCACGGUGCUGACACUGAGGUGCGAGAGCGUGGGGAGCGAACCGG
rnacentral:rRNA from 1 species